GAUCAAACCUGCAUCUUGCCUUCUCUCACCGGGGAGGGGGUGGGGUGUGGGGGUUGUGGGUGUCGGGGAGGCCGGCGGGCUGAACUUCUUAGAGGGACUGUCGGUAUCCAGCCGACGGAAGUACGAGGCAAUAACAGGUCUGUGAUGCCCUUAGAUGUCCUGGGCCGCACGCGCGCUACACUGACAGGUCCAGCGAGUCCCGCGAGCCCUCGGCCGGAAGGUCCGGGUAAUCUUGGGGAAACCCCUGUCGUGAUGGGGAUAGAUCAUUGCAAUUCUCGAUCUUCAACGAGGAAUUCCUAGUAAGCGCGAGUCAUCAGCUCGCGUUGAUUACGUCCCUGCCCUUUGUACACACCGCCCGUCGCUCCUACCGAUUGGGUGAUCCGGUGAAAUGUUCGGAGGUGGGCCGUCGGGGACGGGGGUUCGUUCGUUCCUGGUCUGCAAGUCCAUUGAACCAUAUCAUUUAGAGGAAGGAG
rnacentral:rRNA from 1 species